GAACAAGUACUGUGAAGGAAAGGUGAAAAGAACUUUGAAAAGAGAGUGAAAUAGUAUGUGAAAUUGU
rnacentral:rRNA from 1 species